CCCUGACCUGAUCAGGUGGUCAGGUGUGGUGAAUAUAGACAAUCCCUGACCUGGUCAGGUGUGGUGAAUAUAGACAAUCCCUGACCUGAUCAGGUGGUCAGGUGUGGUGAAUAUAGACAAUCCCUGACCUGAUCAGGUGGUCAGGUGUGGUGAAUAUAGACAAUCCCUGACCUGAUCAGGUGGUCAGGUGUGGUGAAUAUAGACAAUCCCUGACCUGGUCAGGUGUGGUGAAUAUAGACAAUCCCUGACCUGGUCAGGUGUGAUGAAUAUAGACAAUCCCUGACCUGAUCAGGUGUGGUGAAUAUAGACAAUCCCUGACCUGAUCAGGUGGUCAGGUGUGGUGAAUAUAGACAAUCCCUGACCUGGUCAGGUGUGGUGAAUAUAGACAAUCCCUGACCUGGUCAGGUGUGGUGAAUAUAGACAAUCCCUGACCUGGUCAGGUGGUCAGGUGUGGUGAAUAUAGACAAUCCCUGACCUGAUCAGGUGGUCAGGUGUGGUGAAUAUAGACAAUCCC